GAUGAACGCUGGCGGCGUGCCUAAUACAUGCAAGUCGAGCGAACGGACGAGAAGCUUGCUUCUCUGAUGUUAGCGGCGGACGGGUGAGUAACACGUGGAUAACCUACCUAUAAGACUGGGAUAACUUCGGGAAACCGUAGCUAAUACCGGAUAAUAUUUUGAACCGCAUGGUUCAAAAGUGAAAGACGGUCUUGCUGUCACUUAUAGAUGGAUCCGCGCUGCAUUAGCUAGUUGGUAAGGUAACGGCUUACCAAGGCAACGAUGCAUAGCCGACCUGAGAGGGUGAUCGGCCACACUGGAACUGAGACACGGUCCAGACCCCUGCGGGAGGCAGCAGUAGGGAAUCUUCCGCAAUGGGCGAAAACCUUACGGAGCAACGCCGCGUGAGUGAUGAAGGUCUUCGGAUCGUAAAACUCUGUUAUUAGGGAAGAACAUAUGUGUAAGUAACUGUGCACAUCUUGACGGUACCUAAUCAGAAAGCCACGGCUAACUACGUG
rnacentral:rRNA from 1 species